rnacentral:ncRNA from 1 species
CCGUAAGCGGGAGGCUCUGACACGCGGUCCACACCCCGGCCGCCGGGACCGCGCCGAGCCACUGGCGAGACCGACCCGCCUGGAG